rnacentral:misc_RNA from 1 species
CUGAAAUAGCCAAUCUAUAUCAAUCUGGAUACAAAAGCAUCCUACAUGGUCAGGUAGAAAGUGCUAACGAAAGAUAACAAAUCGUACAUGAAACUAGAAGAUAAUUGCACAUGAGCAACGAUUUACAAGCAAUCAAAACGGGGUGGGGUGGGGUAGGGGUGGGGGGUGGGGGGGUGUCAGAACUUGGCAGCAUUAAAAUUUUGGAUUCUUUAGCUUAGCCAAGCAUUCUAGUAAUUCAAAGAGGAUUAUCGGAUGCAUAUCCCAUAACUUGGAUUUCACCAUCAAAGUGUUUGUAGCUCAACGCCAUGAUUUGGAGAAGGUUGUUGCACUGGGACUAAGCCAUCUUCAACCCAAGAUUGUGUUAGUACGUCCUGAGUUUGUAAGAGCUGAUUAGGUUCUUGUGCCGAUGAAUAUGCUUGUGGUUGGGACAUCCUGUAAUAUGGCUCCUUCAGAUCAAGUUUUCCAGAGGACGUUUGGAGCAUAUCUCCAACAGUAG